CGGGGUGUAGCGCAGUCCGGUUAGCGCACUGGUUUUGGGAACCAGGUGUCGGAGGUUCGAAUCCUCUCACCCCGACCA
rnacentral:tRNA from 1 species